UGCUUCUCUGAUGUUAGCGGCGGACGGGUGAGUAACACGUGGAUAACCUACCUAUAAGACUGGGAUAACUUCGGGAAACCGGAGCUAAUACCGGAUAAUAUUUUGGACCGCAUGGUUCAAAAGUGAAAGACGGUCUUGCUGUCACUUAUAGAUGGAUCCGCGCUGCAUUAGCUAGUUGGUAAGGUAACGGCUUACCAAGGCAACGAUGCAUAGCCGACCUGAGAGGGUGAUCGGCCACACUGGAACUGAGACACGGUCCAGACUCCUACGGGAGGCAGCAGUAGGGAAUCUUCCGCAAUGGGCGAAAGCCUGGCGGAGCAACGCCGCGUGAGUGAUGAAGGUCUUCGGAUCGUAAAACUCUGUUAUUAGGGAAGAACAUAUGUGUAAGUAACUGUGCACAUCUUGACGGUACCUAAUCAGAAAGCCACGGCUAACUACGUGCCAGCAGCCGCGGUAAUACGUAGGUGGCAAGCGUUAUCCGGAAUUAUUGGGCGUAAAGCGCGCGUAGGCGGUUUUUUAAGUCUGAUGUGAAAGCCCACGGCUCAACCGUGGAGGGUCAUUGGAAACUGGAAAACUUGAGUGCAUAAGAGGUAAAGUGGANNAUUCCAAUGUGUAGCCGGUGAAAUGCGCAGAGAUAUGGAGGAACACCAGUGGCGAAGGCGACUUUCUGGUCUGUAACUGACGCUGAUGUGCGAAAGCGUGGGGAUCAACAGGAUUAGAUACUGGUAGUCCACCGUAAACGAUGAGUGCUAAGUGUUAGGGGGUUUCCGCCCCUUAGUGCUGCAGCUAACGCAUUAA
rnacentral:rRNA from 1 species